GGAAGGUUGUCCGAGCUGGCCGAAGGAGCACGCCUGGAAAGUGUGUAGGCAUCACAAGCGUCUCAAGGGUUCGAAUCCCUUACCUUCCG
rnacentral:tRNA from 1 species